AUCCGACUGACGAGUCUCAAGCAGGACGAAACACGUUUCCUGAAU
rnacentral:hammerhead_ribozyme from 1 species